GUAGGUGGCAAGCGUUGUCCGGAAUUAUUGGGCGUAAAGCGCGCGCAGGCGGUUCUUUAAGUCUGAUGUGAAAGCCCACGGCUCAACCGUGGAGGGUCAUUGGAAACUGGAGAACUUGAGUACAGAAGAGGAAAGCGGAAUUCCACGUGUAGCGGUGAAAUGCGUAGAGAUGUGGAGGAACACCAGUGGCGAAGGCGGCUUUCUGGUCUGUAACUGACGCUGAGGCGCGAAAGCGUGGGGAGCAAACAGGGAUUAGAUACCCUGGUAGUCCACGCCGUAAACGAUGAGUGCUAAGUGUUAGGGGGUUUCCGCCCCCCUUAGUGCUGCAGCUAACGCAUUAAGCACUCCGCCUGGGAUACGGCCGCAAGGCUG
rnacentral:rRNA from 1 species